rnacentral:rRNA from 1 species
UGGGGAAUAUUGGACAAUGGGCGAAAGCCUGAUCCAGCCAUGCCGCGUGUGUGAAGAAGGUCUUCGGAUUGUAAAGCACUUUAAGUUGGGAGGAAGGGCAGUAAGCGAAUACCUUGCUGUUUUGACGUUACCGACAGAAUAAGCACCGGCUAACUCUGUGCCAGCAGCCGCGGUAAUACAGAGGGUGCAAGCGUUAAUCGGAAUUACUGGGCGUAAAGCGCGCGUAGGUGGUUCGUUAAGUUGAAUGUGAAAGCCCCGGGCUCAACCUGGGAACGGCAUCCAAAACUGGCGAGCUAGAGUAGGGCAGAUGGUGGUGGAAUGUCCUGUGUAGCGGAGAAAUGCGUAGAUAUAGGAAGGAACACCAGUGGCGAAGGCGACCACCUGGGCUCAUACUGACACUGAAGUGCGAAAGCGUGGGGAGCAAACAGG